rnacentral:rRNA from 1 species
AUUGAACGCUGGCGGCAGGCCUAACACAUGCAAGUCGAGCGGAGGAAGGGAGCUUGCUCCUGGAUUCAGCGGCGGACGCGUGAGUAAUGCCUGGGAAUCGGCCUGGUAGUGGGGGAUAACGUCCGGAAACGGGCGCUAAUACCGCAUAUGUCCUGAGGGAGAAAGUGGGGGAUCUUCGGACCUCACGCUAUCAGAUGAGCCUAGGUCGGAUUAGCUAGUUGGUGGGGUAAAGGCCUACCAAGGCGACGAUCCGUAACUGGUCUGAGAGGAUGAUCAGUCACACUGGAACUGAGACACGGUCCAGACUCCUACGGGAGGCAGCAGUGGGGAAUAUUGGACAAUGGGCGAAAGCCUGAUCCAGCCAUGCCGCGUGUGUGAAGAAGGUCUUCGGAUUGUAAAGCACUUUAAGUUGGGAGGAAGGGCAGUAAGUUAAUACCUUGCUGUUUUGACGUUACCAACAGAAUAAGCACCGGCUAACUUCGUG